ACUCCUACGGGAGGCAGCAGUGGGGAAUAUUGGACAAUGGGCGAAAGCCUGAUCCAGCCAUGCCGCGUGUGUGAAGAAGGUCUUCGGUAUUGUAAAGCACUUUAAGUUGGGAGGAAGGGCAUUAACCUAAUACGUUAGUGUUUUGACGUUACCGACAGAAUAAGCACCGGCUAACUCUGUGCCAGCAGCCGCCGGUAAUACAGAGGGUGCAAGCGUUAAUCGGGAAUUACUGGGCGUAAAGCGCGCGUAGGUGGUUUGUUAAGUUGGAUGUGAAAUCCCCCGGGCUCAACCUGGGGAACUGCAUUCAAAACUGACUGACUAGAGUAUGGUAGAGGGUGGUGGAAUUUCCUGUGUAGCGGUGAAAUGCGUAGAUAUAGGAAGGAACACCAGUGGCGAAGGCGACCACCUGGACUAAUACUGACACUGA
rnacentral:rRNA from 1 species